AUAAAUUUCUUACGAAUAACAAAGGAGAGGUUCCAUAAUAAUUAGAAGUCUCGUAACCAUAACGCUUUUGUUCUAAUAUCGUCAUAUCUUGGAUCCGUUUUUUUUGUGAAUGAGCCUCUUAUUGGUUUGAUGGAGUGGACCUUCUUGAAUCUCCGUGGUGCGGGGCAGCGGUUUAGGAGGGUAGCACCUUCUUGGGUUAGAGCUUUGGACAUAUAAAUGGACCAUUUGGGGAAGGCGGUAACUCCGAUGGUGUGGUCUGUUUCAACUUCCACGGUUUCGGUCCGACGGGUGAAAGUAGUGUCUGGUGAUGGUUGAAUCUGUGUGUCGGCGCCUCUUUUGAAAAGGAUAUGAAGAUACAGUGUUCGGCUUGGCCUUGGCUAAGUCGGUGUCGUUGGCCGCGUUUUUCAGGUGAUGACGAGUGACCAUUCUGGUCCUUCGAGCCGGAAUUCUUUCCCUUCCGCUGUUUAUUUCAUUUACUUUCCCAUGUACUUAGUGAUAAGCCCAAUCUAUUUUCAACGUUCACUGUUUCUUCAUCGACUAACCGGAGGUCUUGUUCCGGUUCGCCCUCCGGGGUUGGUUUCGUUAAUUAAUAUAUAAGUU
rnacentral:lncRNA from 1 species